rnacentral:rRNA from 1 species
GCCAGCAGUUGCGGUUAUUCAAAUGAUAUAAUUUAAUUUUAUUAGUAAAAAUUAGUUUUAUUAUGAAUAAUUUUUAUAUAGGAUUUUUUAAGUGAAAUUUUAAAUUUUAAGGAUAAAUUUUAAUUUUAAAAUGAAGUUUAUAAGUUUAAUUAGUAAACUAGGAUUAGAUACCCUAUUAUUUUAAAUGUAAUUAAAAAUACUAAAUUAGUAUUAGUUAUGUUCUUAAAAAUUAAAAAUUUUGGCGGUAUUUUAGUCUUUUCAGAGGAACCUGUUCUGUAAAUGAUAAUCCACGAUUUAAUUUAUUUAUAUUAUUAAUUUGUAUAUCAUCGUAAUUAAGUAUUUUACUAAAAUUAUAAAUAUUUAAGAUUUUAAAUUAAAAAAUUAAUCAGAUCAAGGUGCAAUUUAUAUAUAAGUAGAAAUGGGUUACAAUAAAUAUAUUUUUGGAAAAUUUUUUUUAUUAGAGGUUUGAAUUUGGAUUUGAAAGUAAUUUUAAUAAAUUAAUUAAUUUGAUUUUGGCUC